rnacentral:lncRNA from 1 species
GUGAAUAAACACCAUUUUUACUUCAUACAUUCGACCAAGCUUGAGUGAGCAAUUAAGAUCAAGAUAAGCAAAUACCAGAAUUAGAUCGGGGGAAACGAAAGGUAGACGAGUAAAUGACGUUUAUACGAGAAAAUACGAGGUAAGUUCGUAUAAUUAGAGUCAAACUUUUCUAUUCUUGUGAUUAUUUAAAAGAAUGUAUAUAAUCGAGAUAUUUGAAGUAUGAAUGUAUUACUGUUAUAUAGAAUGUGUUACCGAGCCCCG